AGUGAACGCUGGCGGUAGGCCUAACACAUGCAAGUCGAACGGCAGCACAGUAAGAGCUUGCUCUUACGGGUGGCGAGUGGCGAACGGGUGAGGAAUACAUCGGAAUCUACUUUUUCGUGGGGGAUAACGUAGGGAAACUUACGCUAAUACCGCAUACGACCUACGGGUGAAAGCAGGGGAUCUUCGGACCUUGCGCGAUUGAAUGAGCCGAUGUCGGAUUAGCUAGUUGGCGGGGUAAAGGCCCACCAAGGCGACGAUCCGUAGCUGGUCUGAGAGGAUGAUCAGCCACACUGGAACUGAGACACGGUCCAGACUCCUACGGGAGGCAGCAGUGGGGAAUAUUGGACAAUGGGCGCAAGCCUGAUCCAGCCAUACCGCGUGCGUGAAGAAGGCCUUCGGGUUGUAAAGCCCUUUUGUUGGGAAAGAAAAGCAGCAGGUUAAUACCCCGCUGUUCUGACGGUACCCAAAGAAUAAGCACCGGCUAACUUCGUG
rnacentral:rRNA from 1 species